ensembl:snoRNA
CCUGCCGCUAGAGGCGUUGCAGGUGAGGCUACGAUGUCACAUGCGUGUCAGCAGCUGGCAGAGAGGAGGGCAGCCAUAUCUACCCUCAGUGUUUUGCCCUAUGAACAUCUGAGAAAAGCGAGCCUGAGAUG